UGGCAGUGAUGACUAUCUUAGGACACCUUUGGAAUAACCGUGAAAUAAUACUCUUGUUUUCUGAGCCAU
rnacentral:snoRNA from 1 species